rnacentral:rRNA from 1 species
UACGGGGGGAGCAAGCGUUGUUCGGAUUUACUGGGCGUAAAGGGCGCGUAGGCGGCGUGACAAGUCACUUGUGAAAUCUCCGGGCUUAACUCGGAACGGUCAAGUGAUACUGUCGUGCUAGAGUACAGAAGGGGCAACUGGAAUUCUCGGUGUAGCGGUGAAAUGCGUAGAUAUCAGGAGGAACACCAGCGGCGAAGGCGGUGCUCUGGGCCGGAACUGACGCUGAGGAGCGAAAGCGUGGGGAGCGAACAGG